CCUACGGGAGGCAGCAGUGAGGAAUAUUGGUCAAUGGGCGCAAGCCUGAACCAGCCAAGUCGCGUGAGGGAUGACGGUCCUAUGGAUUGUCAACCUCUUUUGUCGGGGAGCAAGGCCCGCCACGUGUGGCGGGAAGGAGAGUACCCGAAGAAAAAGCAUCGGCUAACUCGGUGCACGCAGCCGCGGUGAUACGGGGGAUGAGAGCGUUAUCCGGAUGUAUGGGGUUUAAAGGGUGCGUAGGCGGAAGGUGAAGUCAGUGGUGAGAUGGCGGUGCGCAACACCGGCCUGCCGUUGAGACUGGUCUGCUUGAGUGAGCGAGAAGUAUGCGGAAUGCGUUGUGUAGCGGUGAAAUGCAUAGAUAGCACGCAGAACUCCGAUGGCGAAGGCAGCAUACCGGCGCUCAACUGACGCUGAGGCACGAAAGCGUGGGGAUCGAACAGGAUUAGAUACCCGUGUAGUC
rnacentral:rRNA from 1 species